UGGGGAAUAUUGCACAAUGGGCGCAAGCCUGAUGCAGCCAUGCCGCGUGUGUGAAGAAGGCCUUCGGGUUGUAAAGCACUUUCAGCGGGGAGGAAGGCGGUGAGGUUAAUAACCUCAUCGAUUGACGUUACCCGCAGAAGAAGCACCGGCUAACUCCGUGCCAGCAGCCGCGGUAAUACGGAGGGUGCAAGCGUUAAUCGGAAUUACUGAGCGUAAAGCGCACGCAGGCGGUCUGUCAAGUCGGAUGUGAAAUCCCCGGGCUCAACCUGGGAACUGCAUUCGAAACUGGCAGGCUAGAGUCUUGUAGAGGGGGGUAGAAUUCCAGGUGUAGCGGUGAAAUGCGUAGAGAUCUGGAGGAAUACCGGUGGCGAAGGCGGCCCCCUGGACAAAGACUGACGCUCAGGUGCGAAAGCGUGGGGAGCAAACAGG
rnacentral:rRNA from 1 species